UAUCUUAACUGAAAACCAUUCUAUUCAGAAUGAGGAAUGUAUAAUACUUUAAUUAACCUUAUGCAGUAUAAUUUCCAUAAUCUAAUUUAUAACCAUAUAUGUUAGCAUUUGUCUUUAUGGUCAUCUAAGUAGUUAAAAAGAAAUGCAACCGCGGCAAUUAAUUGGACUUUGCGGUUAAAAAACGUUACUUUCCAACGUGUUAACUGUUGGAAUUCAGCUAAAUAUACACAACGUGUUGUGUAUUUUUCUGAUCAAGUCAAUAAUUGUGAGAUAACACACAGUGUCUUUUCACAGAUGAAAGAAAACUGCUCACCAGCGUUCUUUGCCUGACUACCUAGAUAUUUCCACCAAAUUCUGCUCAGUGAGAGAGAAGUGGACCCAAACACCUUCCUCCCUGGUGAGCGGAUGUUUCAACGUGGAUCAGCCGAGCUGUCACAGCUGAUCCAACCUGACUCACACACAAUUUGAAUAAAAUCAUAUCCACAAACA